AUUGAACGCUGGCGGCAGGCCUAACACAUGCAAGUCGGACGGUAGCACAGAGGAGCUUGCUCCUCGGGUGACGAGUGGCGGACGGGUGAGUAAUGUCUGGGGAUCUGCCCGAUAGAGGGGGAUAACCACUGGAAACGGUGGCUAAUACCGCAUAACGUCGCAAGACCAAAGAGGGGGACCUUCGGGCCUCUCACUAUCGGAUGAACCCAGAUGGGAUUAGCUAGUAGGCGGGGUAACGGCCCACCUAGGCGACGAUCCCUAGCUGGUCUGAGAGGAUGACCAGCCACACUGGAUCGGAGACACGGUCCAGACUCCUACGCGAGGCAGCAGUGGGGGAUAUUGCACAAUGGGCGCAAGCCUGAUGCAGCCAUGCCGCGUGUAUGAAGAAGGCCGUCGGGUUGUAAAGUACUUUCAGCGGGGAGGAAGGCGAUGUGGUUAAUAACCGCGUCGAUUGACGUUACGCGCAGAAGAAGCACCGGCUAACUCCGUGCCAGCCGCCGCAGUAA
rnacentral:rRNA from 1 species